ACCCAGGCUGGAGUGCAAUGGCAUGAUCUUGGCUCACUGCAACCUCCAUCUCUCGGGUUCAAACAAUUCUCCUGGCUCAGCCUCCCGAGUAGCUGGGAUUAUAGGCACAUACCACCAUGACCGGCUAAUUUUUGUGUUUUUAGUAGAGACGGGGUUUGACCAUGUUGGCCAGGAUGGUCUUGAUCUCCUGACCUCAUGAUCCACCCGCCUCGGCCUCCCGAAGUGCUGGGAUUACAGGCAUGAGCCAUUGCGCCCGGCCAUUAGGCCCUUUUAACAGGGGCUGUGACUUUUAGUAGAGAGACACAGUUAAUGUUGCCAUCUGGCUAUAAAGGGGCUAGGAGACAACUACUCCAACUUACUCUCUUCCUGCUAUUCAAAUCCCCUUCUACAGCUUCCAAUUGGCUAUACCCUAAUAGAAGAUGAGGUCAAGACAAGAGAAUGAAGGCCAAAUUGAGUUUCCUUGAGCAACUCAUUUAACGUUAAGAAUCAAGAUGGUGCCCAAGCUCAGAUGACAUCCUUUCUAACCCAGUUGGAAGGCUCCUCUCAUAGGAGGUGUGAAAGAAAAGAGAAUGGAAAGGAACAGGCUCUUCUCUUGAAGAAAAGCCCUCAGUCCAUGCAGCCAGACAUUGUCUACAUAUGCCUCUCUAUGGGAUGCUGAGAGACCAAGGGCUUCCCACAUAGACAUGUGAGAAAUACCGGCUUUAAGUAUACUAUACUCAGUGUCAAAAGCUUUCAGGAUGCAAGAAAUUCCUGAAUUUGAGUCUCCAAAAUUUUAAACAAGGAAAGGAAGUAAAUAUUUCUUUAUCUCUUUUUCGAUGUAUGGCCCUAUAGUUGGCCAAAAAUGAUUGCUUCUGUUGUUAGAUAGUCAUGUAUAUUUAAGAUUAAAGAAGGUGAUAUUGUUGUGCAAAUAUGAGAGUAAAUUGACAGACAGAUAACCUAAAAAAGUACAGUAAAAUAAAGUUAAGAGUUGUGAUGAUUA